rnacentral:rRNA from 1 species
AGAGUUUGAUCCUGGCUCAGAUUGAACGCUGGCGGCAGGCCUAACACAUGCAAGUCGAGCGGUAACAGGGAGUAGCUUGCUACUUCGCUGGCGAGCGGCGGACGGGUGAGUAAUGCUUGGGAACUUGCCUUUGGGAGGGGGAUAACCGCUGGAAACGGUGGCUAAUACCGCAUGAUGUCUACGGACCAAAGCGGGGGCUCUUCGGACCUCGCGCCCAAAGAUAGGCCCAAGUGAGAUUAGCUAGUUGGUGGGGUAAUGGCUCACCAAGGCGACGAUCUCUAGCUGUUCUGAGAGGAUGAUCAGCCACACUGGGACUGAGACACGGCCCAGACUCCUACGGGAGGCAGCAGUGGGGAAUAUUGGACAAUGGGGGGAACCCUGAUCCAGCCAUGCCGCGUGUGUGAAGAAGGCCCUAGGGUUGUAAAGCACUUUCAGUGGUGAGGAAGGCUUGUUAGCGAAUACCUAACAAGAUUGACGUUAGCCACAGAAGAAGCACCGGCUAACUCCGUGCCAGCAGCCGCGGUAAUACGGAGGGUGCGAGCGUUAAUCGGAAUUACUGGGCGUAAAGCGUACGUAGGCGGCUUAUUAAGCAAGAUGUGAAAGCCCCGGGCUCAACCUGGGAAUGGCAUUUUGAACUGGUAAGCUCGAGUUCUGAAGAGGGUGGUAGAAUUUCCUGUGUAGCGGUGAAAUGCGUAGAUAUAGGAAGGAAUACCGGUGGCGAAGGCGGCCACCUGGUCAGAGACUGACGCUGAGGUACGAAAGCGUGGGGAGCAAACAGGAUUAGAUACCCUGGUAGUCCACGCCGUAAACGAUGUCAACUAGUUGUUCGUGUCAUUAACGACGUGAGUAACGCAGCUAACGCACUAAGUUGACCGCCUGGGGAGUACGGCCGCAAGGUUAAAACUCAAAUGAAUUGACGGGGGCCCGCACAAGCGGUGGAGCAUGUGGUUUAAUUCGAUGCAACGCGAAGAACCUUACCAUCCCUUGACAUCCACAGAAGGUCUUAGAGAUAGGACUGUGCCUUCGGGAACUGUGAGACAGGUGCUGCAUGGCUGUCGUCAGCUCGUGUUGUGAGAUGUUGGUUAAGUCCCGCAACGAGCGCAACCC